UAGGGGAUCUUCCACAAUGGACGAAAGUCUGAUGGAGCAACGCCGUGUGAGUGAAGAAGGUUUUCGGAUCGUAAAGCUCUGUUGUUGGUGAAGAAGGAUAGAGGCAGUAACUGGUCUUUAUUUGACGGUAAUCAACCAGAAAGUCACGGCUAACUACGUGCCAC
rnacentral:rRNA from 1 species